AAUUUUCAACCCAGGGCUGAGUUCAACCCCAGGGUUGAAAUUUCAACCCUGCUAGCUGAAUUCAACCCCGGGGUUGAACUCAGCCCUGGGUUGAAAU